UACGUAGGCAGCAAGCGUUGUUCGGAGUUACUGGGCGUAAAGGGUGUGUAGGCGGUUGUUUAAGUUUGGUGUGAAAUCUCCCGGCUCAACCGGGAGGGUGCGCCGAAUACUGAAUGACUAGAGUGCGGGAGAGGAAAGUGGAAUUCCUGGUGUAGCGGUGAAAUGCGUAGAUAUCAGGAAGAACACCCGUGGCUAAGGCGGCUCUCUAGUACGGUACUGACGCUGAGACGCGAAAGCGUGGGGAGCGAACAGG
rnacentral:rRNA from 1 species